rnacentral:rRNA from 1 species
GACGAACGCUGGCGGCGUGCUUAACACAUGCAAGUCGAGCGGUAAGGCCCUUUCGGGGGUACACGAGCGGCGAACGGGUGAGUAACACGUAGGUGACCUGCCCUCAGCUCUGGGAUAAGCCUGGGAAACCGGGUCUAAUACUGGAUAUGACUCCAUGACGCAUGUUGUGGGGUGGAAAGCCUUGUGCGGCUGAGGAUGGGCCCGCGGCCUAUCAGCUUGUUGGUGGGGNGAUGGCCUACCAAGGCGACGACGGGUAGCCGGCCUGAGAGGGCGACCGGCCACACUGGGACUGAGACACGGCCCAGACUCCUACGGGAGGCAGCAGUGGGGAAUCUUGCGCAAUGGGCGAAAGCCUGACGCAGCGACGCCGCGUGAGGGAUGACGGCCUGGU